rnacentral:rRNA from 1 species
UGUUGGCUCAGAAGCAGCCACACAUUCAAAGAGUGCGUAAUAGCUCACUAGUCGAGAGGUCCUGCGCCGAAAAUGUCCGGGGCUGAAACACGACACCGAAGCCGUGGACUCGCAAUGCGAGUGGUAGAGGAGCAUUCUUAAAACCGACGAAGCUGUACCGUAAGGAGCAGUGGAGGGAUAAGAAGAGAGAAUGCCGGAAUGAGUAGCGAGAGAAAGGUGGGAAUCCUUUCGGCCGAAUAUCUAAGGUUUCCAGAGUAAAGCUGAUCUGCUCUGGGUAAGUCGGGGCCUAAGCACAGGUCGCAAGACGUAAGCGAUGGAUAACAGGUUUAGAUUCCUGUACCACGCAUUAUCAGAACUGUAGGGACGCAUGUGGAAAGCACGGGCCGGGAAUGGAAAGACCGGUACAAGCGGGGUAGGUGUACAAUAGGCAAAUCCGUUGUAUAAUCCGAAGACGUGAUGUGGAGCGAAAUAAAGUAGCAAAGCGUGUGAGCCAUGUGCCGAGAAAAGCUGCUAUUGUGUAAUGCGUGCCCGUACCGUAAACCGACACAGGUGGAUGAGGAGAGAAUCCUAAGGCCGACGGAAGAAGCAUUGUUAAGGAAUUCGGCAAAAUGACCCCGUAACUUCGGGAGAAGGGGUGCCUGCGAGAGCAGGCCGCAGAGAAUAGGCUCAAGCAACUGUUUAGCAAAAACACAGGUCUAUGCGAAACCGAAAGGUGAAGUAUAUGGGCUGACGCCUGCCCGGUGCUGGAAGGUUAAGAGGAGAGGUUAGCGCAAGCGAAGCUUUGAAUUUAAGCCCCAGUAAACGGCGGCCGUAACUAUAACGGUCCUAAGGUAGCGAAAUUCCUUGUCGGGUAAGUUCCGACCCGCACGAAAGGCGUAAUGAUUUGAGCACUGUCUCGACAAUGCAUCCGGUGAAAUUGAAGUACCAGUGAAGAUGCUGGUUACCCGCGCCAGGACGGAAAGACCCCAUGGAGCUUUACUCCAGUUUGAUACUGGGAUUCGGUACUGCAUGUACAGGAUAGGUGGGAGACGAAGAAGGAUGGACGCCAGUCUGUCCGGAGUCGCUGUUGGGAUACCACCCCUGUAGUACUGGGUUUCUAACCAGUUGCCAUGAACUGGCAAUGGGACAAUGUCAGGCGGGGAGUUUGACUGGGGCGGUCGCCUCCGAAAGGGUAUCGGAGGCGCUCAAAGGUUCCCUCAGAAUGGUUGGAAACCAUUUGAAGAGUGCAAAGGCAGAAGGGAGCUUGACUGCGACACCGACGGGUGGAGCAGGUACGAAAGUAGGACUUAGUGAUCCGGUGGUAUAAAGUGGGAUUGCCAUCGCUCAACGGAUAAAAGCUACCCUGGGGAUAACAGGCUUAUCACUCCCAAGAGUUCACAUCGACGGAGUGGUUUGGCACCUCGAUGUCGGCUCAUCGCAUCCUGGGGCUGUAGCAGGUCCCAAGGGUUGGGCUGUUCGCCCAUUAAAGCGGUACGCGAGCUGGGUUCAGAACGUCGUGAGACAGUUCGGUCCCUAU